GCCUUGCCAGACCAGCUUUAAUCUAAAACGAAUUAUCAAGGGGGUUCCCAUAACAACCCUGAUCGUGUUAGGAGUGCUCAAUUAUGGAACAUAACAUCGGUAGCUGAAACUAAGGGGGCAAAGGUGGAACAAAACACCAGGCUAGAAAGGCUGAGCCUUCCACCUUUUACCAAGUAUAUAGGUGCAUUAAAUUAAAUAGCAUUUAAAUAUGGUGAUAUGACAAGGAAUCCAUGCUUUCACAUGGAAGCAUCUGCACCUGCCCUGCAACUAGCAACGCUAUUAACAGGGUUAAGCAAGCAGUAACAUAGCCAAUCAGUGGUUUGCUAGGUUGAACAGGUUGAAGGUUUUCAUGGCAUUGUUGAGAGGCUGAUAUAUAACAUGUGGUAGGCAACGAGACAUAAUCGAUAGAAACGGUAAACUAGCAUGGCAAUGAUAGUAAUGGUAUCUGGGGAAAUGGUCAUCUUGCCU
rnacentral:lncRNA from 1 species